UGAAGAAACAUCAUUGAGUGCAGCGUUGAUGAAAUUCUAAAUAGCAGCUAAGUUGUGUCUUGCUACAUGAUAUUUGAUAUCAAAUAUUGCAUGCUUGAUUUCAUCGACGCUACACUCAAUCAUGUUUUUU
rnacentral:pre_miRNA from 1 species